UUUGUUUCGGUGAAUUCUUAGUGGCGAACGGGUGAGUAACAGGUGGGCAACCUGCCUCGGGGUUGGGGACAACAUUCCGAAAGGAGUGCUAAUGCCGAAGACGCUCCAUUACCGGCAUCGGUUUUGGAGGAAAGAUGGCCUCUAUUUAUAAGCUAUCACCAGGAGAUGGGCCUGCGUCUGAUUAGCUAGUUGGUGGGGUAACGGGUCACCAAUGCGAUGAUCGGUAUCCGGGCUGAGAGGAUGAAGGGCGAGUUUGGGACUGAGACACGGCCCAAACUACUACGGGAGGCAGCAGUGGGGAAUCUUCCGCAAUGGGCGAAAGCCUGACGGAGCAACGCCGCGUGAGUGAUGAAGGCCUUCGGGCUGUAAAACUCUGUUGUCAGGGACGAAGGUGCGCUUUUCGAACAGAUGAGCGUAUUGACGGUACCUGACGAGGA
rnacentral:rRNA from 1 species